GAGUUUAGCGGCUAGGGUUCCGGCGUUUCAUGACGUGGCUGGUCCGAGAGCUGCUACCGGCGGGGAGACAGUCCGCCGGGUGCACGGCGGGAUAAAAGCCCGGGAGAC
rnacentral:sRNA from 1 species